AGAUUAUUGAAUAUAGCCCAUAUACAAUAUAAAAAAGUUUGUUUCAAGCGCCUGUGCCCGGAAUAUAGAUCUACCCAAAGGUUUUUCACAGUCUAUAUAUUCUUUAUGCAGUGAGCAAUACAUAAUAUUAUUACAUACAGUGCAUCCCCAAUAUUAAUAUAAGUUAAUUCUGAUCUGAGUAUCAUUAUUUUCCUAAAAUAUUUCAUUUCCUACAGAAAUAGCUUUCAUAAAAUUGCAGGCGCUUGUAAACAAAACUUUCAUUUUCAAAACAAGAAACACAAGUUAUUCAUUCCAAGUGUUUCCAAAAUUGCUACCAUUAUUAAUUACCAUUUAUGACCUAUCUUUCAUAAACCAUAUUGUAAAUAUAUAGAGCAAUCUCAGAGAAACUUACAAUUUCUAGCAAUUAUAACAAUUUGUCCCUCAGCAAAACUAAAAUGCCCAUUUCUAUAUAUUACAAAGAUAUUGCAAAAUUUAAAAUGUUGCAAGCUCGGUUUGAUUGAGCCUGUUCAUGGACGGUACUGGAAAGUGCAAGUUACCGUCCACGCCCCCUAGCACCGGCUUAAGCAAAAUUCAACAUUUAAACAUGAAAUAGUAAAAUUUUGAAUUUAGAAACAUCCGCAGAUGUGUUCAUACGGCGGUUAUCAUGGAACCUUCAAUGUGACACUUCCGUGCCAUUCCAUGAAAAAGCGGCGUACGGUCCCCAAGUAAUAAAAAGCGUGUGCCGUAAACGAGAAAACAAUGGGCGGAACUAAAUAAAAUGGAAUUUUGAAAGGGGAUCAGAGGUUAUGAAGCCUGCGUAUCACAGAUAAGACGUCAAAAGACAAAUUUAAAAAGCAGGCAACAUAUUCUAAGGGUGAUUCAACAUUAUUCAAGUAGGAAUAUUGGUACCACCCUACUAGAAAAUGCCGAAAAGUUGAAACUAAAAAUACCACAAGCACAACAAUAAUGUCGUGCUGAACGAUCUUCAAGGAUCGAAAAUAUAACAUACCAUCACAUAUCAAGACGACAUUACCAUAUAUCUUACUAACAGCACAAUAUAUAAAAUGGCAGUAUUUAUCUAACCACAUAACAAUAACUGAAAACCACAGACCAUUUAUCAAAAUCACAGUACCAUAUAUCAAAGUGUCACUUGGUGAGAAAAAUGUGCAGCCUGACCGAGUCUCGAACCCAAUACCCUCGGAAAAUAGUUGAAUUGUCUCGGACGUGUGUAACCAAGUGCUAUUUUUAAGGUUUUUGCUAUUUUUCAAGAAAGGUAACUCUGUCGGCCUUGUUUGAUUUUAAUCUUUACUUUGUGUGAUUAUGUCCCCUUGACCACAUUUGCUAUUUGCUCAACCAUAACGUUUCCCUCCUAAAGUUAGGAUCACUUGAGGCCAUUCUUUGUGUUAAAGAAGUUAUUGCAUGGUCAUUGUGACAUGAAGAUGUGUUGAUUUUAUAUUAUUAAUAAGGAUUUGGAUUGAGGAAUUGGUAUUUUUUACAGCAUAAUUAACAGCACAGUGAGACAGGUGUGAGUGACAGAGGUAUAUUUACAGAGUCUGAUCCACAAUUGGGCUUGGUAGAUGUGAUGUAACUGUGAUGUAACAGGGAUGUAACUGUGAUUGAUGCGAUAUGAUGUUUAUGUUGUACGAUGUAUGAUAUAUGAUGUUUGAUGUGGAGAAGUACUUUGUAACCUGUAAUAAAUAGUGUCCACUACAAAUUAAAUUGAAGAACCAGUA